AGCGUACACGGUGGAUGCCUUGGCAGUCAGAGGCGAUGAAGGACGUGGUAAUCUGCGAUAAGCUUUGGGGAGCCGAUAAACAGGCCUUGAUCCAGAGAUUUCCGAAUGGGGAAACCCAACCGCAUAAGCGGUUAUUCUUUAGCUGAAUACAUAGGCUUUAGAAGGCGAACCCGGGGAACUGAAACAUCUAAGUACCCGGAGGAAAAGAAAUCAAUUGAGAUUCCCCUAGUAGCGGCGAGCGAACGGGGAUUAGCCCUUAAGCARUUUKGGUGUUAGCGGAAGGCUCUGGAAAGUGCCGCCAUAGUGGGUGAUAGCCCCGUACGCGAAAAUGCCCUUAUUGUGAAAUCGAGUAGGUCGGGACACGAGAAAUCCUGACUGAACUGUCUUCGGACGAGGGGGGACCAUCCUCCAAGGCUAAAUACUCCUGACUGACCGAUAGUGAACCAGUACCGUGAGGGAAAGGCGAAAAGAACCCCGUUGAGGGGAGUGAAAUAGAACCUGAAUCCGUGUACGUACAAGCAGUGGGAGCAAGCACUCUUUAUUUAUAAAGCACGUCUUGUGACUGCGUACCUUUUGUAUAAUGGGUCAGCGACUUAAUUUCAGUGGCAAGGUUAACCGUAUAGGGGAGCCGUAGGGAAACCGAGUCUUAAUAGGGCGUGAAGUCUUUAACGAGACUGGAAGUCGCUGGGAUUAGACCCGAAACCGGGCGAUCUAUCCAUGGGCAGGUUGAAGAUUGAGUAACAUCAAUUGGAGGACCGAACCGACUAUCGUUGAAAAGCUAGCGGAUGACUUGUGGAUAGGAGUGAAAGGCUAAUCAAGCCCGGAGAUAGCUGGUUCUCCUCGAAAGCUAUUUAGGUAGCGCCUCGUGUAUCACCAUUGGGGGUAGAGCACUGUUUGGGCUAGGGGGUCAUCCCGACUUACCAACCCCAUGCAAACUCCGAAUACCAAUGAGUGCAAUCACGGGAGACACACGGCGGGUGCUAACGUCCGUCGUGGAAAGGGAAACAACCCAGACCGUCAGCUAAGGUCCCAAAGUUCUAGUUAAGUGGGAAACGAUGUGAGAAGGCCCAGACAGCCAGGAGGUUGGCUUAGAAGCAGCCACCCUUUAAAGAAAGCGUAAUAGCUCACUGGUCGAGUCGGCUCGCGCGGAAGAUUUAACGGGGCUCAAACUAGACACCGAAGCUACGGGUUUCAGUGGUCAGUUUUCAGUUGUUAGUUAGCAGUUGUAAGUUUAAAAACUGCAAACACAGUAAAAUGUUGGUUGGUUUGCACAAGAGUUUCCAAUAACUCUGAGCAAAACUGACGACCAACAACUGAAAACUGACCAUUGAAGCGGUAGAGGAGCGUUCUGUAAGCCGUUGAAGGUGUAUCGGGAGGUAUGCUGGAGGUAUCAGAAGUGCGAAUGCUGACAUGAGUAACGACAAGGGGAGUGAGAAGCUCCCCCGCCGGAAGACCAAGGGUUCCUGCGCAACGUUAAUCGGCGCAGGGUGAGUCGGCCCCUAAGGUGAGGUCGAAAGACGUAAUCGAUGGGAAACAGGUCAAUAUUCCUGUACCCCUUUUGACUGCGACGGAGUGACGGAGAAGGCUAGGUCAGCGCGGCGUUGGUUGUCCGCGUUUAAGAUCGUAGGCUGGGGACCCAGGCAAAUCCGGGUCCUCAAGGCCGAGAAUUGAUGACGAGGUUCUACGGAACUGAAGUGAUUGAUGCCAUGCUUCCAGGAAAAACUUCUAAGCUUCAGGUCAAAAGGGACCGUACCCCAAACCGACACAGGUGGUCAGGUAGAGAAUACCAAGGCGCUUGAGAGAACUCGGGUGAAGGAACUAGGCAAAAUGGCACCGUAACUUCGGGAGAAGGUGCGCCGGCUUUGGUGAUCGGACUUGCUCCGUAAGCUGAGGCUGGUCGAAGAUACCAGGUGGCUGCGACUGUUUAUUAAAAACACAGCACUGUGCAAACACGAAAGUGGACGUAUACGGUGUGACGCCUGCCCGGUGCUCGAAGGUUAAUUGAUGGGGUUAUCCCUCUUUUAGGAGAGUGGAGAAGCUCUUGAUCGAAGCCCGAGUAAACGGCGGCCGUAACUAUAACGGUCCUAAGGUAGCGAAAUUCCUUGUCGGGUAAGUUCCGACCUGCACGAAUGGCGUAACGAUGGCCACGCUGUCUCCACCCGAGACUCAGUGAAAUUGAAAUCGCUGUUAAGAUGCAGCGUAUCCGCGGCUAGACGGAAAGACCCCGUGAACCUUUACUAUAGCUUCACAGUGGAUUUUGAUGUUGCUUGUGUAGGAUAGGUGGGAGGCUUUGAAGCGWKGACGCUAGUUMKYGUGGAGYCAAUCUUGAAAUACCACCCUGGCAAUAUUGGAGUUCUAACCCAGGUCCUGAAACGGGAUCGGGGACAUUGUGUGGUGGGUAGUUUGACUGGGGCGGUCUCCUCCCAAAGAGUAACGGAGGAGCACGAAGGUUGGCUAAGUACGGUCGGACAUCGUACGGUUAGUGUAAUGGCACAAGCCAGCUUGACUGCGAGAGGUACAUCUCGAGCAGGUACGAAAGUAGGUCAUAGUGAUCCGGUGGUUCUGAAUGGAAGGGCCAUCGCUCAACGGAUAAAAGGUACUCCGGGGAUAACAGGCUGAUACCGCCCAAGAGUUCACAUCGACGGCGGUGUUUGGCACCUCGAUGUCGGCUCAUCACAUCCUGGGGCUGAAGCCGGUCCCAAGGGUAUGGCUGUUCGCCAUUUAAAGUGGUACGCGAGCUGGGUUUAGAACGUCGUGAGACAGUUCGGUCCCUAUCUGCCGUGGACGUUGGAAGUUUGAGAAGAGCUGCUCCUAGUACGAGAGGACCGGAGUGGACGGACCACUGGUGUUCGGGUUGUGUCGCCAGACGCAUUGCCCGGUAGCUAUGUUCGGACGGGAUAACCGCUGAAAGCAUCUAAGCGGGAAGCCCCCUUCAAGAUGAGACUUCCCUGAGGACUAGAUCCUCCUAAAGAGCCGUUAAAGACUAUGACGUUGA
rnacentral:rRNA from 1 species